GAUGGACGCUGGCGGCGUGCCUAAUACAUGCAAGUCGAGCGAACAGAUAAGGAGCUUGCUCCUUUGACGUUAGCGGCGGACGGGUGAGUAACACGUGGGUAACCUACCUAUAAGACUGGAAUAACUCCGGGAAACCGGGGCUAAUGCCGGAUAACAUUUAGAACCGCAUGGUUCUAAAGUGAAAGAUGGUUUUACUAUCACUUAUAGAUGGACCCGCGCCGUAUUAGCUAGUUGGUAAGGUAACGGCUUACCAAGGCAACGAUACGUAGCCGACCUGAGAGGGUGAUCGGCCACACUGGAACUGAGACACGGUCCAGACUCCUACGGGAGGCAGCAGUAGGGAAUCUUCCGCAAUGGGCGAAAGCCUGACGGAGCAACGCCGCGUGAGUGAUGAAGGUCUUCGGAUCGUAAAACUCUGUUAUUAGGGAAGAACAAAUGUGUAAGUAACUGUGCACGUCUUGACGGUACCUAAUCAGAAAGCCACGGCUAACUACGUG
rnacentral:rRNA from 1 species